rnacentral:rRNA from 1 species
GACGAACGCUGGCGGCGUGCCUAAUACAUGCAAGUCGAACGCUUCUUUCCUCCCGAGUGCUUGCACUCAAUUGGAAAGAGGAGUGGCGGACGGGUGAGUAACACGUGUGUAACCUACCCAUCAGAGGGGGAUAACACUUGGAAACAGGUGCUAAUACCGCAUAACAGUUUAUGCCGCAUGGCAUAAGGGUGAAAGGCGCUUUCGGGGGUCGCUGAGGGAUGGACCCGCGGUGCAUUAGCUCGUUGGUGAGGUAACGGCCCACCAAGGCCACGAUGCAUAGCCGACGUGAGAGGGUGAUCGGCCACACUGGGACUGAGACACGGCCCAGACUCCUACGGGAGGCAGCAGUAGGGAAUCUUCGGCAAUGGACGAAAGUCUGACAGAGCAACGCCGCGUGAGUGAAGAAGGUUUUCGGAGCGUAAAACUCUGUUGUUAGAGAAGAACAAGGACGUUAGUAACUGAACGUCCCCUGACGGUAUCUAACCAGAAAGCCACGGCUAACUACGUG